rnacentral:rRNA from 1 species
UACGGAGGGGCUAGCGUUGUUCGGAAUUACUGGGCGUAAAGCGCACGUAGGCGGCUUUGUAAGUUAGAGGUGAAAGCCCAGGGCUUAACCCUGGAAUUGCCUUUAAGACUGCAUCGCUCGAAUUGUGGAGAGGUGAGUGGAAUUCCGGAGUGUAGAGGUGAAAUUCGUAGAUAUUCGGAAGAAACACCAGUGGCGAAGGCGACUCACUGGACACAUAUUGACGCUGAGGUGCGAAAGCGUGGGAGCAAACAGG